rnacentral:tRNA from 1 species
CCAAGCUGCAAACUCGGCCCAGGCCCUUUAGGAGGCCCCGGGGCUUCUCCCGUCU